ACGACCUUACUUGAACAGGAUCUGUUCUAUAGGAUCGUACUACUGUGUCCUUGAUUUCUAAGGAAACAGAAACAAAAAACAAUAUUAUCAAAGAAACCAAAAAGAAGCUAUUUUUGUUA
rnacentral:snoRNA from 2 species